rnacentral:piRNA from 1 species
UUAGGGUAUUAACCAUCACUUGUGGUGCUC